ACAUUCAAAAGCGAAUUUCGCAGGCGCUGCCGUGAAUGGCAGCGGGAAGGUGCCUACAUUAGCACGCCCUUCAUUUCAGCAUCAUAAAACGCCUCGGAUUAAAUGGAAACUCGCUCCCUCGCAGCCGCAUCUCUCGCCACGCGCGGUUAUUAACAUCGGCGCUUGCUCGCGGGAGCGCCGCGCUCCGCGCGCCCGCCCUGCGAUGGGAGGCAGGUAACAAACGUCCCCGAGGAGCCGCGGGCGUUUCUAACGUGCUCUGGCCGCAGAUUGCUAAGGCAGGUUUGAUGUCUGGAAAAGGUUAACUGCUAGAACAGAAAAGGAGUGCGUAGCAGGAUGGAAGCCCUUCUUUACCAGAACCCCGACCAUAUUGCACUGUCACUCACCUUCCAGACACCCCAUACGACCGUUCCAUCUAUUGAAUCAAGGGACUGUUUGAUCAUAUCUGCAUCUGUGAUCUGACUGUCAACCUGCUUAGGCUGCAUAUUAAAUCAUCUAUAGUAGCUGCAUCAAGUUGGGAUGAUCUGUUAAUUCUAAAUUUAUUAACCCUUGGAGUGCAGUCAUCGUGUUUAAUCUAGUGUAGCCAGCAUUUGCAAGACUAAAUCCUUCCUUAAGAGCAGGCUGUGCUGGA